AUACCAAAUGAGUUAAGUCUUGCGUAAGCAGUUUAAGCGAACCCCUGGGUUGACCUGGAUGUAUUCAGACUCUAUGCGGCGGUUUCAGGGUGUAAGCGAGCCCUUUGGUAUGGUAUGUGCAGGGUGUAAGCGAGCCCUUUGGUAUGGUAUGUGCAGGGUGUGUAAGCGAGCCCGAGGCACGAUUUAGGUGUAAGCGAGCCCGCUUGUUGGCCGUCCCUUUUGAGGUCCAUCAAUGCCACUGACAGGUAAAUAAUCGGAAGGUGGGCAUAGGUGGUAAGGUCUGCAAAGCAGCAAAAGAGGGAGUUCUGAAUAGUCUGGUGUUCAAUCCUUGUGGUUGGGUAGAAGGAUCUCUUUGGGGGGUCCUAAAUGCCUAGUCUAACUACUGAUUUAUAAAACCUUAAUGUGAAAAAGCAGCUUACGACGGGGAAGGGUAUCCCGAAGACAAUCAAGAUGAAGUUUUAGAGCCGUGGUUCACUUGAAAAUUUAGACUAGUAGUUUGUUUUUGUGUUCUCUCUUCUUUUACCUUUUGGUUUGACAAUAUUUGUAAACCUCUAGUGGAACUCAAAUCAGUUAUCCAUGUUAUAACUCCGCUUGUAUGUGUAUAUUAACGUAUUGUGGUUAUCUAUUUUGUUUGAGUUGUACUUUAUAUAUUACUCUUGCGGUCUCAAAUUUUGGGGCGUGACAAA